rnacentral:misc_RNA from 1 species
AAAACCUUCCGCCCCGCGGUUUUUUGGACCGCGGGUGCGGGUGCCUUGGCGAGGGGAUCGUGGCGGCCGCUCCUUUUGCGGCACGCCUUCCCCCGCUCAAACGCGGAGAAAGCUAGCGGGCAGGCGCCCCCAUCGCGACGACUCGUAGAUCACCGUCUCUGUCGUACCGCGUUUUGGGGAGCCCCCGCCUAAAACCGUGCAGCCGUUCCACCGGCCACUGAA